CCUACGGGUGGCAGCAGUCGGGAAUAUUGCGCAAUGAAGGAAACUCUGACGCAGUGACGCCGCGUGCAGGAAGAAGGUUUUCGGAUUGUAAACUGCUUUAGACAGGGAAGAAAAAAUACAGUACCUGUAGAAUGCGCUCCGGCUAUAUUAGUUCCAGCAGCCGCGGUAAUACGUAGGGAGCAAGCGUUAUCCGUAGUUAUUUGGUGUAAAUGGUGCGUAGACGGAGAAGCAAGAUCGUUGUGAAAUCCCUGGGCUUAACUGAGGAACUGCAACUAAAACUACUUCCCUAGAGUAAUGGAGAGGUAAGUGGAAUUCCUAGUGUAGCGGUGAAAUGCGUAGAUAUUAGGAGGAACACCAGAGGCGAAGGCGACUUACUGGACAGUAACUGACGUUGAGGCACGAAAGCGUGGGGAGCAAACAGGAUUAGAUACCCGAGUAGUC
rnacentral:rRNA from 1 species